ensembl:lncRNA
CACACACACACAUUUGUGUCUAUUUCUAUAUCUAUGCAAAUAUAUUAAAAGACAUGAGUUUACACCAAUAGUUUCUACUCCAUUUCAACACUACAGGGGCCGUUUUAGUCUUUACUUUCUCAAUAUUUAUGACCCCUUUCUCCAACUGUGAAAAAGCUUGCUCCCGUUAUCUGUUCACAUAUUUAUCUGCUUAUUUUCCUUGUAUGACAGCAACCUCUGGACCCCAACCCCUCUGCUCGGGCCCUGCAGAUCGCACAAACCUCAUCGACCUCCCAGGCCCUGACUGCCUCCUUUACUCCAGCCCCAGGGUCCUGCCACCCCAAGUUAAGGGAGAGAAAUUAAUAAAUCAUUUUUAAAGAAAAGAAAAAAGGGAAGACAAGAGGAAGAGGAACCACAGUUGCUAUGGUCUGAGUGUUUGUGUCCCCCACAAAUUCAUUUGUUGAAAUUCUAGUGCCCAAUGUGGUACUAAGAGGAGGGGCCUCUGGGAGGCAAUUAGGUCAUAAGGGUGGGGCCUCAUGAUGGGUUUAAUGUUCUUAUAAAAGAGACCCCCAGGCCCCCUCCCUCCUUCCACUAGGUGAGGACACAGUGAGAAGCUAUUGCCCAUGAACCAGGAAGCAGGCCUCCACCAGACACUGAAUCUGCCAGCACCAUCAUGUUGGACUUUUAGCCUCCAGAAUGGAUCUGGACUAUCUACCAGGAUUAGCAGAUCGAGCUUCAUGAUUGGAACACGACACCAGGAAGAGAAAGACGGUGGAGCCUCCAGGGGAGGCCCUGCUGCAGGCACUGUGGCCUGCGGGGGCUGAAGGCAAGUCAUGGCUUCCUCACCUUCAUUUCCUGACCUGGACUCACGUCAACCCCUGCAGCCUUCAUUCUUGGACUUGUACACAAACUCUUUCUUGCAUUAACCCCUGCUCGGUGUCGACUUCUUGUCUUGCUGCUGAGCUGACCUGGGGUUUUGCCCUGGCUGCUCCUAACUCUCCUUUUUACUUUGUUGACUAAGUUUUAGAUCAAGCCUUUAUCUCUACCAGCCUCCAAAACUAGCCUGUUUCUAGUUUGGGUUUCACUCACUUCCUGCCUGUCCUGUGAUAUUCUCGUUGCCAGAAUUAGAGAGAGUCUCCAUUUUUCUCUGUACUGAUAGCUUUUUCUUCUCAUGUCAUGGAAGGUAGUGGUAGGAGGGGAUAUUGGAGGAAAACACUCUGUUGUAGUUUCCUGGACUCAUUCUCCUUAGAACAAACCUCUUAGAUGAGCUUUAGUUGCUGGGAGAAUUGCCUUUCUUACCCCAUGAAGGUAUCACAAGUCUGCUAUACUUAUGUUUAAUUACAAAUGAGUGUUCAAUGGCUCUACUGUGAAAUGAACGAAGGUUAGAGGCAAGUCAAGUCAAGGAAUUCUAAAGGAAUACAUGAAUAAAACAAUGAAAAAACACUUUGUACUAAGCAUAAGAGCCUGGUGUCAGAACUCGAAACCCUGGGUCCUGAACCUGGCUCUGCCACUUGUUAGCUAUGGACCUUGGGCAAAUGUCCUCAUCUGGAAAAUGGAAAUAAUAGCAGUACUAACCUCAUAAGACUACUAUGAGUUUUAAACGAAUUAAUACGUAUAAAGUGCUUAGUUCCACACCCUGCAUAUAUUAAUUACUUAAUAAAUAUCAAUUAUCACCAUCAUUAUUAUUACAUAUAAGAUGAACAAGAAAAUAGAACUCAAAAGAUUUUUUAAAGUAAUGAGAAGGCUUUGGAAGAUUAAGAAGAGAAAAACAGCAAAGUAAAAUGGAAGAAGUAGAUGUAUUGCUAUUUGCUUUUUGAAAUUCACAAAUAACUUCCAAGAUGGAAAUUAUUUAAAGUAGUUUUCCUUGGCUCAGCGUAGAGCAGCUAUCACAUUCACUGAGCACCUCACUCUAUGGAGAUUAGAUUCACUGCC